rnacentral:rRNA from 1 species
AUACGGAGGGAGCAAGCGUUAUUCGGAAUCACUGGGCGUAAAGGACGCGUAGGCGGGUUUGUAAGUCAGGUGUGAAAUCCUACAGCUCAGCUGUAGAACUGCACUUGAAACUACAGACCUAGAGUAUGGAAGGGGCGGAUGGAAUUAGUGGUGUAGGGGUAAAAUCCGUAGAUAUCACUAGGAAUACCGAAAGCGAAGGCGAUCUGCUGGGACAUUACUGACGCUGAGGCGUGAAAGCGUGGGGAGCAAACAGGAUUAGAAACCCCAGUAGUCC